rnacentral:rRNA from 1 species
GCUCCAGCAAAAAAGGGAUGCUGAACGUACUGGUUGCCGCCGUGCUGUGGGGCAGUUCCGGGGUGUGUGCGCAAUUUAUUAUGCAGGAAUCGUUAACUGAAUACAUAGGUUACCGAGGCGAACCGGGGGAACUGAAACAUCUAAGUACCCCGAGGAAAAGAAAUCAACCGAGAUCCCCCCAGUAGCGGCGAGCGAACGGGGAGC